UACGUAGGUGGCAAGCGUUGUCCGGGAUUAUUGGGCGUAAAGCGCGCGCAGGCGGUCCCUUAAGUCUGAUGUGAAAGCCCACGGCUCAACCGUGGAGGGUCAUUGGAAACUGGGGGACUUGAGUGCAGAAGAGGAAAGUGGAAUUCCAUGUGUAGCGGUGAAAUGCGUAGAGAUGUGGAGGAACACCAGUGGCGAAGGCGACUUUCUGGUCUGUAACUGACGCUGAGGCGCGAAAGCGUGGGGAGCAAACAGG
rnacentral:rRNA from 1 species